GAUGAACGCUGGCGGCGUGCCUAAUACAUGCAAGUCGAGCGAACAGACGAGGAGCUUGCUCCUCUGACGUUAGCGGCGGACGGGUGAGUAACACGUGGAUAACCUACCUAUAAGACUGGGAUAACUUCGGGAAACCGGAGCUAAUACCGGAUAAUAUAUUGAACCGCAUGGUUCAAUAGUGAAAGACGGUUUUGCUGUCACUUAUAGAUGGAUCCGCGCCGCAUUAGCUAGUUGGUAAGGUAACGGCUUACCAAGGCAACGAUGCGUAGCCGACCUGAGAGGGUGAUCGGCCACACUGGAACUGAGACACGGUCCAGACUCCUACGGGAGGCAGCAGGAGGGAAUCUUCCGCAAUGGGCGAAAGCCUGACGGAGCAACGCCGGGUGAGUGAUGAAGGUCUUCGGAUCGUAAAACUCUGUUAUUAGGGAAGAACAAAUGUGUAAGUAACUAUGCACGUCUUGACGGUACCUAAUCAGAAAGCCACGGCUAACUACGUG
rnacentral:rRNA from 1 species